CUUCGGAUAAUCUUACAGAUGUGAAACACCAUGAUUUUGUACGUUAAGGUUUGGCGUUUUUGAGACCUUUGCAGCGAAAGGGGAUGAUUGUGCAAGAGAAUGCAGAGAAAAGAUGCAGAUCAUGGUAGCAGGUGGUGAUGGUACAGGUGCUCGGGUUCGCCAAUCUCUUAUCCAUAAGUAAGUGGCAAUGUCAAUAUACUGUUGACAGAAGUUUUCAGCUGGCAUAGCUCCAUGUAUAGUAGUGAUAUUCUUCCCCUCUCAAGUGUUUAAUGAAAGUCAUCCACCAUGGAGUUUUCUCUAUAAAUAAGUUUUUGAUGUUGGUUA